UACGGAGGAUGCGAGCGUUAUCCGGAUUUAUUGGGUUUAAAGGGCGCGUAGGCGGACUGUCAAGUCAGCGGUAAAAUUGAGAGGCUCAACCUCUUCCCGCCGUUGAAACUGGUGGUCUUGAGUGGAUGAGAAGUACGCGGAAUGCGUGGUGUAGCGGUGAAAUGCAUAGAUAUCACGCAGAACUCCGAUUGCGAAGGCAGCGUACCGGCAUCCAACUGACGCUGAGGCACGAAAGCGUGGGGAUCAAACAGG
rnacentral:rRNA from 1 species